GAAGAAAUUACAUGAGGAGAGCUUUCUAAUCAGUAUGCUUAGUGUAAAUAUAUCUGGAUCUUGAGAUGACAUCAUACUGGAUGAUCCUAGUGCACCCUAAAUCCAAUAAGUGUUCUUAUGAAAGACAGAAGAGGAGAAGAUACAGAAAAGAGAAGACGGCUAUUUGAGGAUGAAAGCAGAGCUUGGAGUUAUGCAGCUACAAACCAAAGAAUGCCUUGAGCCACCAGCAGCUGAAAGAAGUAAAGUAGGAUCCACCCAUAAAACUUGAGAAGGAAAGUGGGCCUACCUAUACCUUGAUUUCAGAUUUCUGCCCUACAGAACUGU
rnacentral:lncRNA from 1 species